rnacentral:rRNA from 1 species
GUGCCAGCCGCCGCGGUAAUACAGAGGGUGCGAGCGUUGUCCGGAAUCACUGGGCGUAAAGGGCGCGUAGGCGGCCUGAUAAGUAGGGGGUGAAAUCCUGCGGCUUAACUGCAGGGCUGCCUCCUAGACUGUCGGGCUCGAGCACGGUAGAGGCAGAUGGAAUUCCCGGUGUAGCGGUGGAAUGCGUAGAGAUCGGGAAGAACAUCGGUGGCGAAGGCGGUCUGCUGGGCCGUUGCUGACGCUGAGGCGCGACAGCGUGGGGAGCAAACAGGAUUAGAAACCCGCGUAGUCC